rnacentral:misc_RNA from 1 species
AUGUACUCUUUAUGAGGCUCGUGCUGCCCUCGUGGCAGCUAGCCGAAGGUUUCGCAAGAAGCCGAUGUCAAUUUGAAUCCUUUUUAAACAACGACUGAUCAAAACUGCAGAUAGAAAUGUCUGCAUUCAAUUGAAAUACAACUUUCAACAGUGGAUGUCUAGGCUCGCACACCGAUGAAGAACGCUGCGAACUGCGAUACGUAAUGCGAAUUGCAGAAUUCAGUGAGUCAUCAAAAUUUUGAACGCAUAUUGCACUUCCGGGUUAGUCCUGGGAGUAUGUUUGUAUCAGUGUCCGUGAACACAACCUUGUUUCAUUCCUUGAUGGUAUGAAGCAGACUUUGAAGGUCUUGUAAUUACAAGUCCUUUUAAACGACGGUACCUAUGCGUCCUCGUGAGAUGUAUUAUUUAAAGGUAUGCCUGCGCUCCUUUCGAGAGUCUUGUGUGGCGGCACACAGCAUUCAAAGAGAGAGCAAAUCGCGGUAGUUUUGCUUGUACUUCGGUACGAGUGGACACAUAUUGCUUUUUGUGAUUUCGGCGAGUCUGUUGUUUAAGCACAGGGCACGUAAGGAGAGUAGGUAUGCUGGUGCAUUUCUUGACGCAUGGAGGCAAAUUGGGAAUUCAAUCCAA